AGAGGGUGAGGGCCCCGUACCCGAACGCGCAUGGUCUGGCGAUCGCGUCUCCCAAGUAGCACGGGCCCCGUGGAAUCCCGUGCGAAUCUGUCCCGACCGUGGGAUAAGCCUAAAUAUUCCUGUCUGACCGAUAGCGAACGAGUACCGUGAGGGAAAGGUGAAAAGUACCCCGGGAGGGGAGUGAAACAGUCUCUGAAACCAUGCGCCUACGAACCGUCGGGGCCCCCUUGUGGGGUGACGGCGUGCCUAUCGAAAAAUGAGUCUGCGAGUCAGUGGCAUGUGGCGAGCAUAAGCCGUGUGGCGUAUGCGUAGCGAAGGCGAGUCUUAAAAGGCGUUUGAGUCGCGUGUCCUGGACCCGAAGCGGGAUGAUCUAGCCCUGAGCAGGUUGAAGCGCGGGUAAGACCGUGUGGAGGACCGAACCCACCUGGGUUGAAAACCGGGGGGAUGACUUGGGGCUAGGGGUGAAAGGCCAAUCAAAUUCCGUGAUAGCUGGUUCUCUCCGAAAUGCAUUUAGGUGCAGCGUCGGAUCGAUUACAUCCGGGGGGUAGAGCGACUGGAUGCUUGCGGGCCCAUAUCGGGUACCAACAGCAACCAAACUCCGAAUACCCGUGAUGCGUAUCCCGGCAGUGAGUCGGCGGGGGAUAAGCUCCGUCGUCGAAAGGGAAACAGCCCAGAUCGUCGUCUAAGGUCCCCAAGCGUGUGCUAAGUGGGAAAGGAUGUGGAGUCGCAUAGACAGCCAGGAGGUUGGCUCAGAAGCAGCCACCCUUGAAAGAGUGCGUAACAGCUCACUGGUCUAGUGGUUCCGCGCCGACAAUGUAGCGGGGCUCAAGCACACCACCGAAGACGCGGCAGUAGCUUUGCUACUGGGUAGGAGAGCGUCCCAUGCGGGGCGAAGCGGCGGCGCAAGCCCGCCGUGGACCGCAUGGGAGUGAGAAUGCAGACAUGAGUAGCGAAAGACGGGUGAAGAUCCCGUCCGCUGGACGACCAAGGGUUCCAGGGCCACGUUCAUCGUCCCUGGGUGAGUCGGGUCCUAAGGCGAGGCCGACAGGCGUAGUCGAAUGGAUGAACGGGUCGAUAUUCCCGUACCGGCAUGCAACCGACAAAACCGAAUCCGCGAGUACUAACCUCCGGGUCCGGGCUUACGUCUCCUUCGGGAGCCGGAUGCCCUGGCCUGUUGGGACCGUAACGGUAGUAGGUCAGCGCGGGAGUGACGCAGAAGGGUAGCCGGCCGCGGAGGUGGUCUUCCGUGGUCAAGCACGCAGCCCGUCCCACAGGCAAAUCCGUGGGGCGCGUGGGCGAGGUGCGAUGAUGGGCGCCGCAGGGCGCGAUAUCCGGUGAUCCCGGCUGCCGAGAAAAGCUUCGGCGUGAGGCGGCGUGCCGCCCGUACCCCAAACCGACACUGGUGGUCAGGUAGAGAAUACCAAAGCGAUCGAGCGAAUCCUGGUCAAGGAACUCGGCAAAUCACUCCCGUUCCUUCGGUUUAAGGGAGACCCCCGAUGGUGAAGCGGCUUGCCCGUGGAGCUUUUGGGGGUGGCACAGACCAGGGGGUAGCGACUGUUUACCAAAAACACAGGAGCGUGCGAAGGCGCAAGCCGCUGUAUACGCUCUGACGCCUGCCCGGUGCCGGAAGGUUAAGAGGAUCCGUCAGGCUUCGGCCGAAGCGGUGAAUUCAAGCCCCGGUAAACGGCGGUGGUAACUAUAACCAUCCUAAGGUAGCGAAAUUCCUUGUCGGGUAAGUUCCGACCUGCACGAAUG
rnacentral:rRNA from 1 species